rnacentral:lncRNA from 10 species
CCAGCUUCUCACCUGUCCCGCUGUGUCCCAGAGCUCAAUGCGCACCGGAGCUCCAUCCACCAGGACUUGCACUGCAGGGGCGGGGCGGGGAGAGCCUGAGUUAGGAAGAGCGUCCUGGGCCGCACCAGCGCCACCUCGGGGCCUGCUCCAGUCUCCUCCCCGGGGUCCUCUGCGCCCUCCCGCCGAGACGCCCGCCCCAGCUCCCCGGUGCACAGCCCCGCCGCAGCCACGCGGCCGCACGGGCGAUUGAACGCGGCCCCGGACCCCACCCAUCGGCGAAGAUCUCCCGCGGCCAGGCACCCUGCGAGGCCAGGCGAGGAGGAGGAAAACCCCGGGAGGAGGAAAGGCAGGCAGAAAGCUGGAGCUCCAAGAGUCACGCAGGUACAAGGACAAAGAAUCGUCAAAUGAGAAUACCAAGAAGAGAUAGACAUCCAUGAUUUAUUGUUAGGAGGAAGAAGCAAGUUGCAGAACAUAUAAUACAGUAUGUUCAGGUUAAACAAGUGUGCAAAUUAAACCUUGUUCAACUUACAAGAAACAACUCUAUGCAUAUGUUUGCAUGAGUAUUAAAAAGUUGGGAUAAUUUUAUUAAUGAAAGAAUUACUUUUUUAAAUAUUGAGGCUGAGAGCAGUGGCUCAUGCCUGUAAUUCCAGCGUUCUGGGAGGCUAAGCCAGGAGGAUCACUUGACCCCAGGAGUUCAAGGUUACAGUGAGCUAUAAUAGUGCCAUUGCACUUCAGCAUGUGUGACAGAUCCUAAAAACAAACAAACAAACAAAAAACCUGUUGACCCCUGAACAAAGCGGGAAUUAUGGGCGAGAAACCCUGUGCAGUCAGCCGAAAAUCCCUAUAUAACUUUUGACUACCCCAAAAUUUAACUAUUAAUAGCCUGCUGUUGCUGGGCUCCGUGGCUCACGCCUGUAAUCCCAGCACUUUGGGAGGCCGAGGUGGGUGGAUCACCUGAGGUCAGGAGUUCGAGACCAGCCUGGCCAACAUGGUGAAACCCCGUCUCUAUUAAAAAUACAAAAAAUUAGCCAGGUGUGGUGGCGGGUGCCAGUAAUCCUAGCUACUCAGGAGGCUGAGGCAGGAGAAUCACUUGGACCUGGCAGGUGGAGGUUGCAGUGAGCCAAGAUUGGGCCACUCCACUCCAGCCUGGGUGACAGAGCAAGACUCUCUCUUAAAAAACAAAAACAAAAAACCCCCCAAAAAAAGUAGCCAAGCAUGGUGGUGUGCAUCUGUAAUCCCAGCUACUCGGAGGCUGAGGUGGGAGGAUGGCUUGAACCUGGGAGGUGGAGGUUGCAGUGAGCUGAGAUCAUGCCAUUGCACUCCAGCCUGGGCAACAGAGCCAGACUUUGUCUCAAAAAUAAAUAAAUAAAUAAAUAAAAAAUAGGCUGGGCGCAGUGGCUCACACCUGUAAUCCCAGCAUUUUGGGAGGCUGAGGCGGGCAGAUCACAUCACGAGGUCGGGAGAUCCAGACCAUCCUGGCUAACACGGUG